rnacentral:lncRNA from 1 species
UUCGCCAGUGGAUCACUGGCUGUGCACAGGUCUCGUGAUUCUAGAAAUCACUUGUGCUGACGGGUCAUCACUUAUGGACGUUCUUGUGAUCGUCUGCUUAAAAGCCGUUGCAUCAUCAGCGACCUCGAUGCAGCUGCAGCAUCAAUCAAAGGAGUGUUCCAUUAUAGUAUAGCCACUUCAAUAGGAUCGGUCAGCAAUUUGUAGUGUGUGUAUAAAGACUAAGUGCAGGAGAACGCCAUCAGAUGCACAUUCUGGAACAGCACCUCACGGCAGGAGUGCAUCACAAAGUGUACCGAAAACUCGGUAAUUGCUUAAUUAGCGAUUGUCUUACACAGUAAAGUAGGGGCACUUUGCUGAAGGUUUGUUCUAUACAGCGGACUGAAAUACUGGUAAUCAAGAAAAGACAUUGUACUCAUAAAUGUUCCAGCAAAGCAAGUAAACGGAAGAUGAUCACAGAUAAGGGUUUAUACUUCUCGGAUGGCGUGGACCGUUGGGGUGGAUGCUCGAAUUUCACUCCCUCAGUCAGUGGAUCACAUUUACGCAUCAUUAGGCACACUUCAUUGGCAUCCAUCCUGGCCCUGUUUGCAGGGCGCAAAAAGUCCAUCGCGACUACAUGAUGAUAGAGUUUACCUAGUCUGGCUUGUCAGGAAUAAAGCAGUGAGAAAAAUCACCAAGGGUUAUGGACAUACGGGCAAACAGCUAUUAACUUGAAAGCAACGAGAAAUAGGGCAGGAAACCAUCAGAAGAUUUAUAACGAAAGAAGAAAAAUAAAAAGCCUGGACUGAAACAAGAAAAGACGGCAGACAAAUACGAUGUCAUCAAUGUCAUUGGUCAUGGAUUUGGCCGUCGUUGUUGCUGCGGGGGGAUGAAGCCUGCUGGAGGUUCUGUUGGUGAGUUUUUACAGGACUGCCCCCGCCCCUCCUGCCUGCCAGUUCAGAAUGAUGUCACGUGCCGUCCAGGAAACGGGGACCUCGCCUUCACAAGAACUUCACACUGGACGACGAAGUCUACCUAUGUCUGUUGAUGUGGACAUCCAGAAAAGCAUAGAUGUGUUUGACCUCCACCUAGGAGACAUUGUAGUUACAAGCAUAACCCAGUACGAGGAACCGUCAGACCAGAGUCCGCCGUCUACUGCCGAAGGUGUCGUGGCUGCUGUAGAAGCUCUGCCAGCCACGGUCAAAGUCAGAGAGGCGCCGGGUAUAAAUCAGAGCUCGUCACCCCUUACUGUACUGGUAGAGCCUCGUCACCGCUCAAAAUGUGACAUCGCGUCCCAGACGAACCAAACGGCAGCUGUCACCAUCAGAAAGAAACCAGAAAAAUACUAGUAAAUGUAGGACGAAAAUAUAAUCGAACAAUUAUUUUUUCAUAUCACAUGUUUUUAAUUAUCAUUGCUUUCUUCGCUUUUUAAAUAUUUUUUAACGAGUAGGUAAUACUUAGAUUUAUUCAGUUACAUUUCAUUAAUUCAUAUUCUCUACUUUUAGUAAGCUUAUUUAAUGGUCAAACCACAUCAGAAUUAAUUUGCUGUUGUUUACACUUAUACCUUUUAAUUGUGAGAGGACAGUAGAAAAAGAAAUGUAUCUGAAAAACAUAAAGAAAGAAAAGAAUGGAAUGGUGGGUGGUGACAAUGAGGUGGUGUUCGGUGAGGAACCUCGCAGAGCAAGGGCUGUGACAUGGAUUUUUAUCCACAUUGAGCAGAUGUUCGUGCCCCGGACCCUGCUUUUUCAGUGUGACAGACUGCACAAAGCUUCCCCUCUGUGUAACUCGUGCAUCUCUGCCUUCAGAUCUUCGAAAAAUUUUAAAUUGUUCUCCCUCCCCUCGCUGAAAGGACUUGUAGGUCUUCCAUCGUACAACGUUUGUCUAGUGACUGUGGACAGCUCAGUGCAAGAUGUUAUUUUCCCUAAAUCUGGGUAAGUACCCACCUUCCUUUCGAGAUACAAGUCUACAAACAUCACCAUGCAGAGAAAACCGUCAGGAUUCUCCAUGGAUACGUUUACGUUGUGAAGGCCUCAGUGAAUGGGAGAGCUGGGACUAACUGUUAAUUAGGAUAUCAGUGGACAAACGUGACGUCACGAGUGAUCAUGAUAAUUUUUGGGGGUUGUGUCUUGCGAACAGAAUUGAGUUAUUCACCCACAUUUGGAGCAAUAAUACAUUGAACUGAGUUUAGUAAGGUGAUUAAAAAAGAGGCUUGGCACCAUACUAGACCUUCAGAUCAAAGACUGGCACUAGCAAACUUUGCGGUAUUUGUUUAAAUCCUAUACUAAACCCAAACAAACCCGUGCACCAGCAACAAAAGACCUUAACUGGACACAUAGUUUUAAUUAUGUGACUAUAUCAGCAUAGCUAUACAUGAUGGUUAGAUACAUUUUCCAUUCAUUAAUUUUCUAUAGUAAGUGUCCAGUUAAGGGAGUGCACAGACCUUCGAACCAACAAGUUCAGAAGAAAUAAAAGAAGCUCAAUAACCAAUGGGAAAAGCACAAAAGAUAAAUCAACAGUGAGCCUCAAGCGUGCAUGUUCAGGCCGUUUCCAACACGGAGAAAAUUAAUUUGUCUCCCUUGGACUUCAGCCUAGACCCUAGAGAGAGAAGACCAAGUAACCAUGAUGAGACUGACGACUCAUGAAAAAAAGAUGACAAUGACUUCAUCGAUGUCAUGAUGGCGUUAAACAAUGACUGUUGCUAAAGAGUGCUGAAGUCUUGACUACAGUAGAUGUAUUUUAAAAAAAUAGUCACCUCAUUGACCUCGUAGAAAAAGAACUAUCUGGUGGAAGGGUCCUGUUUGCAUGCAGGAAAGCCAAAAAUCUCCAAUCUCGGGAGCUCACACUGUCUCAAAUCUUUAGUCUCAUUAUUUCGGAGUGCGCCCUUUUUUUGCUCUGAGCGACUAAUGUUUCGCACAAAAGAAGAGGCACACAUGACUAGACCGCCAGGUGCAAAAUGGUCUUCGAUGUUUAUAUUGAACUUUUAUUGUAGUAUGUGGUGUAUACUACAAACAAAACUCAGCAGAAACUUUGAGAGAAUAACUCUACAGAAGGAGGACUAUGUGGUGUUUGUAAACCAUGGUUACAGAUAAUUAUACACGUGGUUUACUCUACAUCAUGAAUUUCAGCCUGUUGUGUCGUGCAAUCAAAAUUCUUCACAUUUGCUUCAUUUCGUUGACAAGGCGACAGGACCAAAUAGAGGCUUUCACUUGUGAAGACACCGGGUGUCAACUUCUCUGGAUGUGAGAAUUGUUAUGAACAAUAAAACUGUUCUGUCACAGCUUGCCAAUCUUUAAAUCUCGCCUGAGCGAGAUCGAGGCAUCUGUUUAGUGUUUGCACUAAUUUAAUAUUGUCUUACAAAAGGUUGGACAGGGUUUGUUGAUGCAGAGGAGGUUUUUGUGGGUGGCGACUAUAAGGAAACCGCUUUAGGCCCCACACCUGACGGAUGCCCCCAAUAGGAGAUUCAUACGGCUUUCGGUCCCGAAUGUGACACUUGCCCAGGACCUCACGUACUGAUAAGACUGCCCCUGGUUGAUGUGACAUGGAAAAAAUGCGAUCCUAAACAUGACAAAGAACAAUUCUUUAAUGAAGAACGGUUAUGGACAUCAAGGGUCAGGUACACAGUCGCGGAUUUGGAUGUUAAUCCCCAGCGGUCAGCAAAUCAUGAAACAUUUUUUUUUAAUUUUUUAUCAUUUUAGCUUGGUAUUAGUAUUCAGAUUGCGGUAGUGUAAACCUGGCUCUCAUGAAGGUAUCUCCUAACAGAUUUGUUUUUGAGCGCUUAGAGAGUUCACUACUCUUGCUCCGCUUGUGAAAUUGUCCCCCUUUCUUGCCUUUAUAAACCUUACUAGAGGCUGCAUCGGGUCACUCAUGCUCUUCCUCAGAUCACGAACUUGUAUUAUGGACUGCUUGCAGACGAUUAUUCCCACCUAGUUAACUACUAAAACGAGGCUGGUGUGUACAAAACUUCCGGUUUAGUCACGUUCAUUGUUUAGGCUCGCCGAGACUAACAGCUGAAACCUUCGCAAGAGGCUAAGCGUUGGUCUCGGUAGACAGACAGCAGUCCAUCUAUACAUGUCCGUGCUCAGAUGCUGUGAAGACAAUGCAAAGUGAAGAAGGGGCAUGAGUGUGACCUUGGUCGCCUAGAAGCUGACGUGCUAGGCAUUCGCUAUAACAAGCAUAAUUAUGUGCGCCAAGGUACACAAAUAUGUCAAUUGUAAUGUAGCUAGAAUGAUGUACUUAGUUGUAAUUUAAUUAGGAUACUGCUAAAAUGCUUUGCUUUAUCUAUGUCUAUUUCAGCAUAAUGUUAGGCGUUGGCUAUGAUUCUUUGAGCAUAAUCUUGCGGCAUUUCUGUGGCCUUAAUUAGCUUUGGAAGCGCUUACUGAUACCUUAUUAGCACAAUGCACAUAAUCUUGGCGUUGGGAGUGCUCUUCGGGAGUUUGAUGAAGUAACAAACGGGGCCUUGGAAAGAGAGCAAACCAAGACUUGUUGUUCCUCCUUGCUUUUUAGCCCUAUCUUCUCUCACAUUGUCACGAUGCACCACUCACCUACUCUUGUACUGGUGUAUAUGUUCUUGUAACAACAUAGACCUUUUAUAUAGGCACUGAAGCGAACUGGUCCUUCACUAUUCCACCCAUCCACUCCAUCCAUAACAAAAGGGUAAAGGAUACUUUUACUUGUUCCUCACAUUUCAGUAUUUUGUGCAGGAAAAGUAUUUUAUCUUCGCUUAUCACUAUUACUGAUACUGCCCAUCGGCACUACAACCUCUACCGCUAGCACCACCUCCUCUUCUCCUCCUCCACAACCACCACCUAUUCCCAUAGCUAUGUUACAACUUAGGAACAAAAGCCGCCAAAAUGUUACACCACCACCACUGCCAAAGUCCCCACCAGACUCAUAGGAAUAAGUGUUUUACUUGGCUUUUUCUUUUUUCAGGGUUGAAACCUUUUUAAAAUGAGGUAAGUGAGGGAAAACAACUAGGGUAUAAUGCUUCUCAGGCAAACAUCACUAUCAUUACAUAUUGUUGUUUUUGUAUUUUAAGCAAAAUUUUAGCACCAUCACAAUAAUAAGGUAAACUAUUUUUAGCAUCGAUUAUCAGAAGUGCCUUUGUGUCAUCACAUUAGUGCAAUAUUUCUACUUAAGCUUCUAGGAAGCAAAUUAGUGUCAUAACAAUAUUUUUUUUAGAUAAAAAGAAAACAUUUUUUAUCUUGAGAUAAACUUUAUUUUACUAUAAAAAACAAAUUAUUAUUUAUCUAAAGAAACAAAUUAAUGGUGAUUUAUUUAUUUUAAUUUCUAAUUUAAUGCGAAAAAUGUCUCCCAUAGUAUUUCUAUUUUUUCCUUUUUUCGGAAGCAUUUUAAUAAUAUUCUUAUAAUAAUUAUUGUUAUUAUAUAAGAGAAGAAUAAUAUUUUAUAUAAAUUACAGUAAUCUUGCAGCAAGUAUUAUCUGUCGGAAAGCGAGAAUUUAUUAUAUUUUAUUCCCAGUAUUUUGCCAUGACUUUGGAUAUGUCUGCUGCUUAACGUGAAUGCUGGGUCUGUAGUAUUUAUAUUUCGUACAUUAUUUCGUGUUGUCAGAUGAGGACCACGAGUAGAUACUGUACCCAGUAUUUCCUUUUGCACAAUGUAGAUCUUGUGCAAUAUGCCUAUUCCUAGGACUAUAGCUUAACAAAACAUGAAUAUAUCACUCAGAUUGAAAACAAAUAUUUCAAAAAGAUUCAGCAUGGGCUUCAUCCAUCGGUUGUUAUAUGGUGCAUUUGGCUUGGGAUGUUCAGAGUGGUACAAGUAAGUUUUUGUUUCCUAAACUAGAUUUAAACUUCAACAAGAAUAAAUUGAUUCUGUAGUGCUCAGUUAUAGUUCAAUAAAGUAAUCAGUAUAAUGUUAGAAUGUUAUGAUGGGUUUCGCUAUUACAACCAUUUGUUAAAUUUGACAUGCAUAGGGAAUUUGGUUUUUGAAGCUGCUGUGGUAUUGUUGCUUUUAGUGGGAUUUUGAUGCUAUUGAUGUGUUAGUACAGCAGAUGAAAUGAAGGUCUGAGUUUGCUUUUGGAGUUCGUUGGCUAUGGUUGUUUGUGGUGAGCAGCUGUUUGCAGUGAUAUCUAACAUCUACAUCUAUUACACCUGUCAUUUUUAGAGUUCACAGCUGUGUGAUGGAAGUUGUGAUAUGCAACAGCAUGCUUUUCCAAAUUAUGUUUUAUGCUUCUGUGCUAUUGCUGAAGGUGAAAGAAAGCUUAUAAAUGUAACAUGUUGUUUGUACUCUUCUUCAAAAAAAUAAAUGAUAUUACGCCAG